rnacentral:lncRNA from 1 species
ACACCGGCCUCUAUACAUGAAGGCCAUCAAGUGGUUAACAUAUAGACAGUAUUUAAAUCCUUGGGACUGGAUGAGAUUACCAAGGGAGGAAAUGUAGAUGAAGGAGAAGAGAAAGGAUGGAGUUCUGGAGCACUACAAAUUUAAGAGACUGGGGAGAAGAGGAGAAACCCAGAAAAUCUACCUUGGAGAUCACUGCGUAAUACUACACUGGGAGCAGUAUCAUUCUUUGAAAUAAUAAUUAUAAUGUAAUAUAAUAGUUAUAAACUAUUCCAGUGUGUGAACAUGCCCUUUAUUCAAGCAGUUCUCUACCAGUAGCUUCUUAACUGGUCUUCCUGCUCUCAGUUUAUCCUUACUCCAAUCCUUUGUAAAUACUGCUUAUGCUAACCUUGGAUUAAUCUUAGUUAUUUAUGCCUGCAUGAAAAAUGGAA